GACGAACGCUGGCGGCGUGCCUAAUACAUGCAAGUAGAACGCUGAAGAGAGGAGCUUGCUCUUCUUGGAUGAGUUGCGAACGGGUGAGUAACGCGUAGGUAACCUGCCUGGUAGCGGGGGAUAACUAUUGGAAACGAUAGCUAAUACCGCAUAAAAUGGAUUAUCGCAUGAUAAUCAAUUGAAAGGUGCAAAUGCAUCACUACCAGAUGGACCUGCGUUGUAUUAGCUAGUUGGUGGGGUAACGGCUCACCAAGGCGACGAUACAUAGCCGACCUGAGAGGGUGAUCGGCCACACUGGGACUGAGACACGGCCCAGACUCCUACGGGAGGCAGCAGUAGGGAAUCUUCGGCAAUGGACGGAAGUCUGACCGAGCAAUGCCGCGUGAGUGAAGAAGGUUUUCGGAUCGUAAAGCUCUGUUGUAAGAGAAGAACGAGUGUGAGAGUGGAAAGUUCACACUGUGACGGUAUCUUACCAGAAAGGACGGCU
rnacentral:rRNA from 1 species